rnacentral:rRNA from 1 species
AUACGGAGGGUGCAAGCGUUACUCGGAAUCACGGGGCGUAAAGCGCGCGCAGGCGGCUAUUUAAGUUGGAUGUGCAAGCCUACGGCUCAACCGUAGAACUGCAUCCAAAACUAUUUAGCUAGAGUGUGGGAGAGGAAGAUGGAAUUAGUUGUGUAGGGGUAAAAUCCGUAGAGAUAACUAGGAAUACCAAAAGCGAAGGCAAUCUUCUGGAACACUACUGACGCUGAGGCGCGAAAGCGAGGGGAGCAAACAGGAUUAGAAACCCUAGUAGUCC